rnacentral:rRNA from 1 species
UACGAAGGGGGCGAGCGUUGUUCGGAUUUACUGGGCGUAAAGGGCGCGCAGGCGGCCGCAUUUGUCAGGCGUGAAAGCCCCGGGCUUAACUCGGAAAGGUCAACUGAUACUGUGCGACUAGAGUGCAGAAGGGGCAACUGGAAUUCUCGGUGUAGCGGUGAAAUGCGUAGAUAUCGAGAGGAACACCUGCGGCGAAGGCGGGUUGCUGGGCUGACACUGACGCUGAGGCGCGAAAGCCAGGGGAGCGAACGGG